rnacentral:rRNA from 1 species
CCUACGGGAGGCAGCAGUGGGGAAUAUUGCACAAUGGGGGGAACCCUGAUGCAGCGACGCCGCGUGGGUGAAGGAGUAUUUCGGUAUGUAAAGCCCUAUCAGCAGGGAAGAACAAUGACGGUACCUGACUAAGAAGCACCGGCUAAAUACGUGCCAGCAGCCGCGGUAAUACGUAUGGUGCACGCUUUAUCCGGAUUUACUGGGGGUAAAGGGAGCGCAGGCGGCGCGUUAAGCCUGGUGUGAAAGUCCGCGGCCCAACCGCGGGACUGCAUUGGGAACUGGCGCGCUGGAGUGCCGGAGGGGUAGGCGGAAUUCCUAGUGUAGCGGUGAAAUGCGUAGAUAUUAGGAGGAACACCAGUGGCGAAGGCGGCCUACUGGACGGUGACUGACGCUGAGGCUCGAAAGCGUGGGGAGCAAACAGGAUUAGAUACCCUUGUAGUC